UCAAUUGGAGACUGAAUCCGUGUAUGGUUCGUUCUUUGAAUAUUCCGCUUUAAAACAAAAUCAGAAAAACCAAAUAACAGUCGUUUUUUGGUUUUUCUGAUUUGGUUUUGAAACUGAAAAAGGGCAAAAGGAAUAAACAAAUAAACGGCAUUUUUCUGUUUUUUAAAUCAAAACGGGAAUACUGAAUAAUCCAGUUGCUUGUUUUGUUUGUGUGAUAUUUAGAUAAAACCACAAUGAAUGCCGGGAAAAGGGCACGUGGUUUAAAAAAAAUACAUAUAAAGAUGUUUCAAACUUUCCAUUGAGUCUCGCAUUCUACAAUGGCCAGCUUUAUUGUUUUCCGUGGGAGCCGGCGACUUAGUUUGCGAGUGGACGAUAUGACUGUGGAGAAGAUCACCAUGAUAUUCCAGGUCCAUCCACACUCUCUGUAUUUUACUGAUGACAGCAACAGAGGGAUACUCCCUGGACCAGAGGGAGCUUUCAGUCUCAGACCUCAAAGACGGUGGCCACUAUGAGGUACACGGGGAGAGCACAGCUGAUCAAGGUUCUCAAGGUCAAAACCCUGCUGCUCGCUUUGCCUUUCGCCGCCCAUCCAGCAGUGCUCUCCCCGUUGCCUCAGGAGCUCUGUCUGCUCCCAGAGCUGUGGGUCCAAAGCUAAACACAAGGAAUGUCUUUAUAGCGGCGGUGGUGGAUGGAAGGCCAGUGACCCGGAAAACGGUGGCAGUACGAUUUUCUGAGUUUGAGGCAUCUGUUAAUAGCAUAAGGGAAAUAGUGGUGGAGGCUCUGGGCGACGACAAGCCUAUUGUGCUUGUGGACAGCCAUGCAAAUGAGAUCCUGGACUGUGAGGGAAACAGAGGAUCUGCAUUCUGGAAGCAGCAUGCAAGAAAGAUCUUUGCUGUUCCCCAAGACCAGAUGCAGAGAACCGGGGGGGGGGGGGGGGGGAAGAAUAAUAAAAGAAGGAGAGAAAGGUAGGUAAGCUAUCUGUGAUAAAUUGCAUACCAAAGGUCACUGAAUAAAUACAAAACAAAACAAAUACAGAACAACUAUCCUUCCCUAAUAUAAAAAAGAAAGUCCAAGUUAAUACACUCUUAACAAUAUGUUCUGUAUAUUUUUCAGUCAACAUGAGGACACAGACCUUCCCUUGGUCGUUGACCAAAUAGAGGAGGUCAUCCUCGCUUCUCAGGGUCUAAAAGAUGUAUCCAAGACGCUCCAAGACCUUGCAAAUUUUGCACAGGCAAACCGAAGGACAUCAAUAAGCCUGAGUAACAGCCAGGCGGCAGCUGUGAAGGCAGCAUUUGCCUGUAUCAUAUGUGGAGAUCCUAUGAAGGAGCCCAUAUUUGCCAGCUGCUGCAGAACCAUCCUGGGCUGCAGCAGCUGUGUGGAGCAAUGGCAGGUUAGCCACACCUACUGCCCUAAAUGCAGAGGUGGGGACUUUUACGGAGGCAACACGCAGCCAGUGGUGGGGCUGGACGAGGCACUGGCUGUACUGCAUAAUAUAAUUUCUUAAGUUAUUGUUUUUGUUCACCAAAUGUUCAUCUUUUGUUAGUUAUCAAUGUACCUUUCAUUUUUAUGUUUUAUUCUAUUUUAAAUUAGUUAUUACUAUUAUUAUGUGUUAAAAUGUUAUGUUAAAUUGUUAUUUGCCCAAUAAAUUGUAGUUCUUUCUGAAAA